UGAGGAAUAUUGCACAAUGGGCGAAAGCCUGAUGCAGCAACGCCGCGUGAGGGACGAAGGCCUUCGGGUCGUAAACCUCUUUUCUGGGGGACGAGUAAGGACGGUACUCCAGGAAUAAGUCUCGGCUAACUACGUGCCAGCAGCCGCGGUAAAACGUAGGAGGCGAGCGUUAUCCGGAUUUACUGGGCGUAAAGCGUACGCAGGUGGCUUCGUUAGUCGGACAUGAAAGCUCCUGGCUUAACUGGGAGAGGUUGUUCGAUACUGCGGGGCUUGAGGUUGGGAGAGGGACGUGGAAUUCCCGGUGUAGUGGUGGAAUGCGUAGAUAUCGGGAGGAACACCAGUGGCGCAAGCGGCGUCCUGGCCCACACCUGACGCUGAGGUACGAAAGCGUGGG
rnacentral:rRNA from 1 species